rnacentral:siRNA from 1 species
CACCGGAGUUCCGUACGAAAGUGG